CCUACGGGAGGCAGCAGUGGGGAAUAUUGCACAAUGGGGGAAACCCUGAUGCAGCAACGCCGCGUGAGUGAAGAAGUAUUUCGGUAUGUAAAGCUCUAUCAGCAGGGAAGAAAAUGACAGUACCUGACUAAGAAGCCCCGGCUAACUACGUGCCAGCAGCCGCGGUAAUACGUAGGGGGCAAGCGUUAUCCGGAUUUACUGGGUGUAAAGGGAGCGUAGACGGCUGCGCAAGUCAGAAGUGAAAGCCCGGGGCUCAACCGCGGGACUGCUUUUGAAACUGUGUAGCUAGAGUGCAGGAGAGGUAAGUGGAAUUCCUAGUGUAGCGGUGAAAUGCUUAGAUAUCACGAAGAACUCCGAUUGCGAAGGCAGCUUACUAAACUGCCACUGACAUUGAUGCUCGAAAGUGUGGGUAUCAAACAGGAUUAGAUACCCUUGUAGUC
rnacentral:rRNA from 1 species